rnacentral:tRNA from 1 species
CCUGGUGGCUCAGACGGUAAAGUGCCUACCUACAAUGUGGGAGACCCAGGUUCGAUCCCUGGGUCAGGA